GACGAACGCUGGCGGCGUGCCUAAUACAUGCAAGUCGAACGCAGUGGGGACGGGUGAGUAACAAGUGGGUAACCUCCCAUCAGAUGGGAUAACACUUGGAAACCGGUGCUUAACCGAUACUUAUGGCUGGACCAGCGGUGCAUUAGCUAGUUGGUGAGGUAACGGCUCCCCAAGGCCACGAUGCAUAGCCGACCUGAGCGGGUGAUCGGCCACACUGGGACUGGGACACGGCCCAGACUCCUACGGGAGGCAGCAGGAGGGAAUCUUCGGCAAUGGACGAAAGUCUGACCGAGCAACGCCGCGUGAGUGAAGAAGGUUUUCGGAGCGUAAAACUCUGUUGUUAGAGAAGCGGUAUCUAAAGAGAAAGCCACGGCUAACUACGUGCCAGCAGCCGCGGUAAUAG
rnacentral:rRNA from 1 species